ensembl:lncRNA
GGAAGUGAACCUGGGCUCCAGCCUAACCCGGUCCACCGGUUCUGAACAUGCUGUUGGAGGAAGACGGGGAAAUGGCAACACAACUGGCUGCCGUGGCUCCUAGACUGGAUGCCCGAGAAGGGGUGAUGAAAGGCUUCUGAAAGGCUGCAUUAUCCUGCUGGAAGAGGCCACAGCCAUCAGUGAGCACUGUUUCCAUGAAAGGGUGUACAUGAUUUGCAACAAUGCUUAGGCAGGUGGUACGUGUCAAAGUAACAUAGAUGGCAGGACCCAAGGUUUCUCAGAAUUGCCCAAAGCAUCACGCUGCCUCUGCCAACUGCCUUCUUCCUGCAGUGCAUCCUGAGGCCGGGUGUCCUCCAGUAAGCAACACACCAGAAAAAGAAGAAAGAAAAUGUGAUUCAUCAGACCAGAAUACCUUAUUUUAUUGCUCUGUGGUCCAGUCCUGAUGCUCGCAUGCACAUUGUUGGUCAUUUUUAGUGGUGAAAGGGGGCAGCAUGGGCACCCUGACUGGUCUGCAGCUAUGCAGCCCCCUACACAACAAACUGUGAUGCACAGUGUAUUCUGACACUUUUCUAAGGGCAACUAAACCUCCUGUGUGGCUUUGGAUUACAAAUGGAAAGAGUCCCAUAAUAUAACCACA